rnacentral:rRNA from 1 species
UUGCACGCUGGCGGCAGGCCUAACACAUGCAAGUCGAGCGGAUGAAGGGAGCUUGCUCCUGGAUUCAGCGGCGGACGGGUGAGUAAUGCCUAGGAAUCUGCCUGGUAGUGGGGGAUAACGUCCGGAAACGGGCGCUAAUACCGCAUACGUCCUGAGGGAGAAAGUGGGGGAUCUUCGGACCUCACGCUAUCAGAUGAGCCUAGGUCGGAUUAGCUAGUUGGUGGGGUAAAGGCCUACCAAGGCGACGAUCCGUAACUGGUCUGAGAGGAUGAUCAGUCACACUGGAACUGAGACACGGUCCAGACUCCUACGGGAGGCAGCAGUGGGGAAUAUUGGACAAUGGGCGAAAGCCUGAUCCAGCCAUGCCGCGUGUGUGAAGAAGGUCUUCGGAUUGUAAAGCACUUUAAGUUGGGAGGAAGGGCAGUAAGUUAAUACCUUGCUGCUUUGACGUUACCAACAGAAUAAGCACCGGCUAACUUCGUG